UGUUUGUUUCAGUCCUAAGACUAUUUUAAUAAUGGGAGGAGAAGAGGGGUCCACUACAAGGGAAAUUCUUAGGCACAACACUGUAGAAAAAGUUGUCAUGUGUGAUAUUGAUGAGGUAACUAAUUUUAAUGUUUGUUUCAGUUCUUUGGAAUGGAAAACUCAGGACUGUGCCCUCAAAACCAACUGAUUUGCCCUUCUUUGACCUGAUGAGCAUCGAUGAUAAAAGACAAGGCUGGGAAAUCAAGUAACUCUGCUGCUAUUUCAUGUCCAUAUUGUCGGGCCGGGACUUAUAUUUGCAGGUGAUGCUGGUGAUGAGGAUGAUGAUGAUGAUGAUCAGAAGGACUGAUUUGUUUUUUACCUUUAAAAACAAUGAAUGAGUGUGUGCUGUAUAAACAAUAUUUAUCAUGGUGUGUGCUGUAUAAAUAAUAUUUAUUAU